rnacentral:rRNA from 1 species
UACGUAGGGGGCAAGCGUUGUCCGGAAUCAUUGGGCGUAAAGAGCGUGUAGGCGGCUUGGUAAGUCCGCUGUGAAAGUCCAGGGCUCAACCCUGGAAUGCCGGUGGAAACUGUCAGGCUCGAGUCCGGAAGAGGCGAGUGGAAUUCCUGGUGUAGCGGUGAAAUGCGCAGAUAUCAGGAGGAACACCAAUGGCGAAGGCAGCUCGCUGGGACGGUACUGACGCUGAGACACGAAAGCGUGGGGAGCAAACAGG